UCCCCGUUAUCCGAGGCGGUUUCUGAGAGCUUGCUCGUGCAUGUCAAGCCUAGGUAAGGUUCUUCGCGUUGCGUCGAAUUAAACCACAUGCUCCACCGCUUGUGCGGGCCCCCGUCAAUUCCUUUGAGUUUCAACCUUGCGGUCGUACUCCCCAGGCGGGGUACUUCCUGCGUUAGCGCCGGCACCCAGAGGGUCGCUCCCCCAGGCACCUAGUACCCAUCGUUUACGGCGUGGACUAC
rnacentral:misc_RNA from 1 species